CCUACGGGAGGCAGCAGUGGGGGAUAUUGCACAAUGGGGGAAACCCUGAUGCAGCGACGCCGCGUGGGAGAAGAAGUAUUUCGGUAUGUAAAGCCCUAUCAGCAGGGAAGAAGAAAUGACGGGACCUGAGUAAGAAGCACAGGCUAAAUACGUGCCAGCAGCCGCGGUAAUACGUAGGGUGCAAGCGUUAUCCGGAUUUAAUGGGGGUAAAGGGAGCGCAGGCGGCACGGCAAGCCUGAAGUGACCGCCCGCGGCCCCACCGCGGGACUGGCUUGGGAACUCCCGGGCUGGAGUGCCGGGGAGGUAGGCGUAAUUCCUCGUGUAGCGGUUAAAUGCGUAGAUAUUACGCG
rnacentral:rRNA from 1 species